AACGAACGCUGGCGGCAUGCCUAACACAUGCAAGUCGAACGAGACCUUCGGGUCUUGUGUCGCACGGUUGCGUAACGCGUGGGAACCUGCCCUUAGGUUCGGAAUACCUCCCCGAAAGGGGUGCUAAUACCGGAUAAUGUCUUCUGCCCAAAGAUUUAUUGCCUUUGGAUGGGCACGCGUUGGAUUAGCUAGUUGGUAGGGUAAAAGCCUACUAAGGCGACGAUUCAUAGCUGGUCUGAGAGGAUGAUCAGCGACACUGGGACUGAGACCCGGCCCGGACUCCUACGGGAGGCAGGAGUGGGGAAUAUUGGACAGUGGGCGAAAGCCUGAUCCAGCAAUGCCGCGUGAGUGAUGAAGGCCUUAGGGAUGUAAAGCUCUUUUACCCGGGAUGAUAAUGACAGUACCGGGAGAAUAAGCUCCGGCUAACUACGUG
rnacentral:rRNA from 1 species